ACUAAAGGAUCGCAGACAAAGAACGCCACGUCCUGUGGCAACAUCUGCAUGACCCCCAUCCUGGGGG
rfam:Bacillus sp. 2_A_57_CT2 genomic scaffold supercont1.5, whole genome shotgun sequence.